UAAAUUCAUUUUGUUUAUUCAUAUACAUUAUAUAUAGUUAUACUGUGAAAUAAUAAAGUAUAGAUCAAUAGAUAUAGAUCUACAGAUAUAGACAUAUACCUACCCCCAGUUCCUGGCACAGAGCUCCUAAAACCCUUGAAAUUUCCUAAGUGAUAAGAACACUAGCAGCAUUUAUUAUUCUAACGAGGCAAUUCUUGGUGGGCUCCUGGAUAACUUCAGGAUGGGUGCUGCUCAUCAGAAAGAUCAAGCUAUCAAUAGAAGCUUGGAACUUUCAGCCCCUCCCCCAUCCUCUGAGAAGUAGAGAGCAGCUGGAAAUUGAGUGAAUGAUUGGUCACACCUGCAUGAUGAAGCCUUCAAAAAAUUUCCAAAGUUCCGGGCGUUGAGAACUUCAGGGUGAGCUGCCACCACAGCGUGACCACUAAGAGAUGAGCGGUGUAGGUCCACACCCAGGAACUGGACCUGGGCUGCAGAAGCGGAGCGUGCCGAACUUAACCACUAGGCCACCGGGGCUUGCCCUAUUCAGGUUUCUAAUCAAUGCAGACAGUAUAACUUUCUCUUUAUUUAGGUCUUCUUCAACAAUGUUUUGUGGUUUUCAGUGUUCGGGUCAUAUACAUACUUCAUCAGAUUUAGUCCUAAGUAUUUGAGAUUCUUUAAGGCUAUCAUAAACGGUGCUGAUUGUUUAAUUUUGAUUUCCAAUUGUCUGUUGCUGUUGCAUUUUAAUAUGAUUUAUUUUUGUAUGUUGAUUUUAUAUCCUGCAGCCUCACUAAACACACUUGUUAGUUCUUACAGUAUUUUUUGUAGAUUCCAUUGAAUUUUCAACAUAGAUGAUCAUGUUAUCUUAUGACAGUUUUACUUCUUUUUCAAUUUAGAUACCUGUUGACGACACAAAGACAGACACGCAUGGAGGGAAGACGCUGUGAAGAUAUAGGGCAAACACAUCUACAAGCCAAGGAAUGCCUGAAGCUACCUGUAGCUAGGAGAGAGGCAUGGAGCAGCUUCUCCCUCACAGCCCUCAGGAGGAACGAAUGCUGCUGACACCUUGAUUUCAUACUUCCAGCCUCCAGAACAGUGAGACAAUAAAUUUCCAUUGUUUAAGUCACCCAGCUUGUAGUUCUUUGUUCUGGCAGCCCCAGGAAACUAAUACCCUCUAUCGGGUUGAGAAGUUCUUUUAUAUCCCCACUUUUCUGCAAGAUUUGUCAAGAAUGGAUGUUGGAAUUUGGCAAAUGCUUAUUCCCUAUCUAUUAAGUUGAGCAUAUGGUUUUCUUUAUAUUUUGACAAUCUGUUUAAUUGUAUUAACUGAUUUUUAAAUGUUAACCCAACACCGUAUUCCUAGGGUAAAUGUCACUUGGUCAUGAUGUAUUUUCCGUUUUAUGUAUUAUUGAAAUAAAUUUGCCAAAAUUGUGUUUACUAGGUAUGUGGUAUGUUGCAUAAUUCUGAAUUAGCUCAACAUUUUUAUAAGAACUGCAGGAGAUAAGUUGCUAAUUCAGAAAUUUGUUUGUAUGGCUGAAAUGUUAUUAAUGUCUGUGCAUGUGUCAGCAUCUAUAUGCUUGUAGAAAGGAUUGGCAGGUGUGCAGGUCUGGCAGUGCUAUCCCUGUCCGUAACACAGUCUGACCCCUGG
rnacentral:lncRNA from 1 species